rnacentral:rRNA from 1 species
UACAGAGGGUGCGAGCGUUGUUCGGAAUUACUGGGCGUAAAGCGCGCGUAGGCGGCUUUGUAAGUUAGAGGUGAAAGCCCGGGGCUCAACUCCGGAACUGCCUUUAAGACUGCAUCGCUUGAAUCCAGGAGAGGUGAGUGGAAUUCCGAGUGUAGAGGUGAAAUUCGUAGAUAUUCGGAAGAACACCAGUGGCGAAGGCGGCUCACUGGACUGGUAUUGACGCUGAGGUGCGAAAGCGUGGGGAGCAAACAGG